rnacentral:rRNA from 1 species
UACGGAGGGUGCAAGCGUUAUCCGGAUUCACUGGGUUUAAAGGGUGCGUAGGCGGCUUUGUAAGUCAGUGGUGAAAUAUGGCAGCUCAACUGUCAAGGUGCCAUUGAUACUGCGGAGCUUGAGUACGGAUGAGGUAGGCGGAAUUGACGGUGUAGCGGUGAAAUGCUUAGAUAUCGUCAAGAACACCUAUAGCGAAGGCAGCUUACUAGGCUGUAACUGACGCUGAGGCACGAAAGUGUGGGGAUCAAACAGG